ACAACCUGACUCUCCAAACUCGAGCUCAACGUAAGAAGGCCAUGGAGUAACUUGAACAAAAUCAGGCAGCACUUACAGUGGAUAUGGACUCAGUCAAAGAGAAAUGGAGGAAAUGAAGGAUAAGAUGGAUCAACUCGCGAGAGCCAUUACCAACAUGUUGGAAAGAGAGGUUGAGACUGAUAAAAGGAAGGUUGUUUCCAUGACUACCCCUCCACCCAGGGAUGGUAACC
rnacentral:lncRNA from 1 species